CCCUUAGAUGUUCUGGGCCGCACGCGCGCUACACUGAUGCAUUCAACGAGCCUAUCCUUGACCGACAGGUCCGGGUAAUCUUUGAAUCUGCAUCGUGACGGGGAUAGAUUAUUGCAAUUAUUAAUCUUCAACGAGGAAUGCCUAGUAGGCGCAAGUCAUCAGCUUGCGUCGAUUACGUCCCUGCCCUUUGUACACACCGCCCGUCGCUACUACCGAUGGAUGAUUUGGUGAGAUCGCCUAGACUGGCAGCUGGCUUCGGCCGUGCUGCCGGGAAGACGCUCAAACUUGGUCGUCUAGAGGAAGUAAAAGUCGUAACA
rnacentral:rRNA from 1 species